GUGGCUUUUGGCCAAUAGGGUGAAAAGAUCCCCUUGGAGGAAGUGGAGGUGAAUCCACGGGGGAAGACAAAAGAAAAAUGUAGGUUGUUUGGUUGAGAGCUGAGAAUGAGAGAAGGUUUUGAUUCCUCUUUUAAGAAACUGAAGGUCUAUUUGGCUGUACAUGGAAGCUGGUGAUUCUGAGAAUACCACCCUGACAGCGUUCUUCUGGAGUUGAUUCAGGAGCAUUCUGGAAGUGGAUCUGGAAAUGGAUGUGUCAGAAAUGGACAAGAGCGAGAUUUCCUGAUAACCUCUACCCACGGCUCUCUCCUCCUCUUGAAGACGAUUCUUCCCUGUCCCAGAGCCUCAGAACUGAGGUUCCUAUGUCAUUUCUGAUGGGAGACUCCAUCGAGACCUGGACUUACUAAUUGUCCCCUUCCGACUGUAGCACAUCUCCUUGAACCCCACCUACACGCCAAGGAAAUAAUCAAUUGGCCAAGCAGGAUCACAAGCAAAGGAUCCUAGAACUCCCAUCAGCACUCAAGCAACGCUGGCUACAUCACACUUUGACUCGAUGGAGUAUGGGAGAAGAAUGGACAAUGGACAUUGAAGCAUGGCUUGAACAGAACUUUCUCUUGAAAAAUUCUGUUAGGAAAAACCAUAGUCAGGAGACACAAUUGAUCUGCAGAGUGGCUGUUACGUUGCUACAAAACUAAUUAAAUGUCCUGGUGUUCCUGUGCCUCGAAAUGCUA